AAAACAUAUGAGAACGAUGAUUCUCGUUCUCCACCGAAAGUUAACAUCCAUUGACAUGCUUAAGCUUUACCGAUGAUACCGAAGAAGCUGAUAAUCAGAUCAUAAGCUCACAUCAAUAGACAUGUUCUAUGCGCCAAUUCUUCUUAAUUUAUUUCAUAUAGGAUUCGGAUAAAGCACUUGAGAUGAUGAAUUUGUUUCUGUUAGAAAUCUGGGAGAGGGGAUCAGUGAAGAACAGAACCUGAAUGAAACCAUUUGCAGAUCAAAUUUUGCAAAUCGACAACACUUAAAGCAAUAAUCAUUUCUAUAAGGUUAGUUUUGGAUCUGUUUUUUCAGUUGUAGACACAAAUUGAAGUUGUUGUUUGUCUCAAUCGGAGUUAUAAUUGAACUAAGGUUUCUUGAUUUUGUUGUCUAGAAAUGAACUCUUAAACUUACACUACUGUAGUUGCAGAGAGUCUGAUUAUGUUUGGAUUAAAAUGACUAUGGAAAGGAA